UGAGUGCUUAUUUGAAUAAAUUUAACUGUUGGAUUGUUUCAUUCUUUUGCAAGUACCCAUCCCCCCACCAAAGAAUUCUUCAAAAGUCUUUGAAGAACAAAAACAUAACACAAGACAACUUGAGCAAAAAUAAAUAUUUGCAGGCACAUACACAUAACGUGGCUUCAUGCAGUGAACAGUUCACACGUAGUGAGUUUCAGGAGUGGCCUGUUCCAGGGGCUCAAAUGACUUCUUAAUGUCCUUUUCUUGGUUUUGCUCCCUUCCUGGUAUUCCAUUCUUGAGCAGCCUCAAAGUUUCAGGUGAGACCCUAGGCCCCACACCCCUCUCCCUAAGGGAGGAGCCAUGUACUCCUCCCCGCUAGGUGUGGAGCCCACCUCAAUCUUGUGGACUGAGAAAGGGGAAGGGAUGGACUCCCAGACAAGAAAGGAAAAUGAUGCUGAGGAGGCAAACAUCAAAGGCACAGCCAUGUGACGUAGUCACAGUAAAACAUUGAGGCUGGUUUAUUUUACCUUUGACUAGAGCCUUGACCCAGAAGGGAGCAACAGGAUAUCUGUUCUGAUAGAAACAUUAGACUGGAAAUCAAGACAUAAGUAAAAUCUCUUAGUUUAUAACCAUUUUGUUACAGCUGCUCAGUGGUAGCCUGCCACUGGAUAACUGCAUGUUUUCUCCAUGUCCGAAUCUAACCGGCAGAAAUAACGUAUCUCUUAACUACCUGAUAUAGUACAUGAGAAGAUACAAUAAGACAGUAAAUGAGAAAAUGUUGAGAAAAAAUAUUUUAGCAACAGAACUCUGUCCACAAUUCUAACAAAGUCCUCGGAUGACUUGUUUCAGUUCUGAGAGCCAGUUUGCGCAGAAGGCAGUCUUCUUCCUUGGUGGCUCAUCUAUACAGUAUUCAGGCAGAUAUAUCAAGACUUUAGGAUAAAAGCUGUUGAGAAAGAAUUACUGCUAUUUUCCACAACACAGAUGGAUCUCCCACAGCAUUAGGUGAAAGCAGAUGAACACAAGUGAAUACACUGUACGAUUCCAUUUACACAAGUCUCAGAAACACACGAAUUUCAUCUGUGGGGUUAGAAAUCAGGAUGAUGUUUAACCUUUGUGCAGUAAGGGCACAAGAGAAGGUUCGUGGGAUGCUGGCCGUACCCUGAUUCUUGACCUGGAAGUUGGUUACAUGGUUAUGUUCCGUUUAUGAAGAUUCAUCAAGUGACAUAAUUUCUCUACUCUUGUGUCUCUAUGUUGUCGUCGCUCAGUCGUGUCCAACUCUUUGUGACCCCACGCGCCAGGCUCCUCGGUCCAUGGGAUUUCCCAGGCAAGAAUACUGGAGCGGGUUGCCAUUUCCUUCUCCAGGGGAUCCUCCUGACCCAGGGAUCAAACUCUUGUCUCCAGCAUUGGCAGGUUUUCUAUCUUGAAAGUGAGAGGAAUAACAACAUCCAACCACCUAUCUCAUCCGGGUCUUGAGUGGCUUAACGGGGUCAUGUUUGUAAGGUCCUGGAAAACUCUCAGGAGAGAAAGUUGUACCACUUUUCCACUUUCGCCUGGGCCAUGAAGACUUAUAAUGAGUGCAAGUCUCCGACUGAGCAAAUCCUAACUCAUUGGAGCUUGUGCUUAACCAGAAGCUGGCUUAUCCUGACUGUCCAUUCACAAUACCCACAUUUUGCAAUAACCACAGAGUACUGAUCUGAGCAGAUGGUGACUGCAGCCAUGAAAUUAAAAGAUGCUUGCUCCUUGGAAGAAAAGCUAUGACAAACCUAGAGAGCAUAUUGAAAGGCAGAGAUGUUACUUUGCAGACAAAUGUCUGUAUAGUCAAAGCUGUGGUUUUUCCAGUAGUCAUGUAUGGAUGUGAGAUUUGGACCAUAAAGAAGGCUAAGAGCUGAAGAAUUGAUGCUUUUGAACUGUGGUGUUGGAGAAGACUCUUGAGAGUCUCUUGGACUGCAAGGAGAUCAAACCAGUCAAUCCUAAAGGAAAUCAAUCUUCAGUAUUCAUUGGAAGGACUGAUGUUCAAGCUGAAAUUCCAAUACUUUGGCCACCUGAUAUGAAGAACUGACUCAUCAAAAAAGACCCUGAUGCUGGGAAGGAUUGAAGGCAGGAGCAGAUGGGGACGACAGAGGAUAAGAUGGUUGGAUGCCAUCACCGACUCAAUGGACAUGAGCUAGAGCAGGCUCUAGGAGGUGGUGAAGGACAGGGAGGCCUGGAAUGCUGCAGUCCACGGGGUGGCAAAGAGUCGGACAUGACUGAGUGUCUGAACAACAACAACAACUGCUUUGAGCAGCUGACAUCCACUAAGAAGGAACUACACGCCAAGCAUCGUGCUAAACUCUGCGAAUAUAUGUUCUCAUUUAAUGAGAAAAUGCCAGUGAGGUAGGUGCCAUUAGUAACCUUUUCCCAGAGGGAAACCAAGCUUUAGUAAGGUUAUCCAUCCAUACAGUUAUGAAAUAAAGAAGACAGAUGGCAAUCCUUGACUCUGACUCCAGAGUCCUGUUCUAACCUAUUACUAUCCAACAUAAAAUAAAGUGAGCCAUGCAUACGGUUUUAAAUUUGCUAGGAGCUAUAUAUAUAUAUAUAUAUAUAUA
ensembl:lncRNA